AUUGAACGCUGGCGGCACGCCUGACACAUGCAAGUCGCGCGAGCGGCGGACGGGUGAGUAAUGUCUGGGAAACUGCCUGAUGGAGGGGGAUCACUACUGGAAACGGUAGCUAAUACCGCAUACCAUCAGAUGUGCCCAGAUGGGAUUAGCUCGUAGGUGGGGUAAAUGCCUACAAAGGCGAAGAACCGUAACUGGUCUGAGAGGAUGAUCAGUCAAACUGGAACUGAGACACGGUCCAGAAUCCUAAGGGAGGCAGCAGGGGGGAAUAUUGGACAAUGGGCGAAAGCCUGAUCCAGCCAUGCCGCGUGUGUGAAGAAGGUCUUCGGAUUGUAAAGCACUUUAAGUUGGGAGGCGUUACCAACAGAAUAAGCACCGGCUAACUUCGUGCCAGCAGCCGCGGUAAUUC
rnacentral:rRNA from 1 species